rnacentral:rRNA from 1 species
AUUCCAGCUCCAAUAGCGUAUAUUAAAGUUGUUGCGGUUAAAAAGCUCGUAGUUGGAUUUCUGUACGAGAGCACCGGUCCGCAUUUUGUGCGUGUAUCUGGUAGAACUUGUGCAUCCUCUUAUUUUCAAAUCUGCGCUUCAUUGCGUGGUUUUGUGGAUAAGACUUUUACUUUGAGGAAAUUAGAGUGUUCACGGCAGGCAAGCGCCCUGAAUAUGUUAGCAUGGAAUAAUAAUAUAAGACUUCGGUUUUAUUUUGUUGGUUUCUAAAGCUGAAGUAAUGAUUAAUAGGAACAGUUGGGGACACUUGUAUUAACUCGCUAGAGGUGGAAUUCUUGGAUUGAGUUACGACAAACUACUGCGAAAGCAUUUGUCAAGGAUGUUUUCAUCA